rnacentral:ncRNA from 1 species
AUUCAUCUUCGGGGUUGGGUGAAAUUCCCUAUCGGCAGUAAAUAAAGCCUGCGACCCAUAAAAUUUUUUAUGGCUGAUCUAGUGAGAGUCUAGAGCCGACAGUUAAAGUCUGGAUGGGAGAAGAUGGAG